AGUGAACGCUGGCGGUAGGCCUAACACAUGCAAGUCGAACGGCAGCACAGUAAGAGCUUGCUCUUACGGGUGGCGAGUGGCGGACGGGUGAGGAAUACAUCGGAAUCUACUUUUUCGUGGGGGAUAACGUAGGGAAACUUACGCUAAUACCGCAUACGACCUACGGGUGAAAGCAGGGGAUCUUCGGACCUUGCGCGAUUGAAUGAGCCGAUGUCGGAUUAGCUAGUUGGCGGGGUAAAGGCCCACCAAGGCGACGAUCCGUAGCUGGUCUGAGAGGAUGAUCAGCCACACUGGGACUGAGACACGGUCCAGACUCCUACGGGAGGCAGCAGUGGGGAAUAUUGGACAAUGGGCGCAUGCCUGAUCCAGCCAUACCGCGUGGGUGAAGAAGGCCUUCGGGUUGUUAAGCCCUUUUGUUGGGAAAGAAAAGCAGCAGGUUAAUACCCCGCUGUUCUGACGGUACCCAAAGAAUAAGCACCGGCUAACUUCGUG
rnacentral:rRNA from 1 species